CACGUAGGGAGCAAGCGUUGUCCGGAUUUAUUGGGCGUAAAGAGCUCGUAGGUGGUUCGGUAAGUCAGGUGUGAAACCUCCAGGCUCAACCUGGAGACGCCACUUGAUACUGCUGUGACUGGAGUCCGGUAGGGGAGCGUGGAAUUCCUGGUGUAGCGGUGAAAUGCGUAGAUAUCCGGAGGAACACCGGUGGCGAAGGCGGCUUCCUGGACCGAUUACUGACGCUGAGGCGCGAAAGCUAGGGGAGCAAACGGG
rnacentral:rRNA from 1 species